rnacentral:rRNA from 1 species
UCGGGAAUUUUGGACAAUGGGCGAAAGCCUGAUCCAGCCAUGCCGCGUGAGUGACGAAGGCCUUAGGGUUGUAAAACUCUUUCGUCGGGGACGAUAAUGACGGUACCCGAAGAAGAAGCUCCGGCUAACUUCGUGCCAGCAGCCGCGGUAAUACGAAGGGAGCUAGCGUUGUUCGGAAUCACUGGGCGUAAAGCGCACGUAGGCGGAUAGUUAAGUCAGGGGUGAAAUCCUGGGGCUCAACCCCAGAACUGCCUUUGAUACUGGCUGUCUCGAGGUCGAGAGAGGUUGGUGGAAUUCCUAGUGUAGAGGUGAAAUUCGUAGAUAUUAGGAAGAACACCAGUGGCGAAGGCGGCCAACUGGCUCGAUACUGACGCUGAGGUGCGAAAGCGUGGGGAGCAAACAGGAUUAGAUACCCCCUGUAGUCCCUGAGCGGGCUGGCAAGGCGCAU